CCCGGGUCUUGUACACACCGCCCGUCACACCAUGGGAGGCGGGAUGUACCAGAAGUAGGUAGGCUAACCGCGAAGGGGGGCCGCUUACCACGGUGCGUUUCGUGACGUGGGGUGAAGUCGUAACAAGGUACCC
rnacentral:rRNA from 1 species